GCUGCGGUCCCUGUAAUCUGAGAUUAAUCUCAAUAGUAUCUGAUUCAGAUGGCGUUUUGUCGUGCGAAGACAUGGUUUUCGAGAAGUUUCUCUUCUCUUUCUUCAAAUCCAUUACGCGUUUGUGUUGUUGGAAGCGGACCUGCUGGCUUCUACACUGCUGAAAAGAUGCUGAAGGCGCAUCAAGGAGCAGAAAUUGACAUUGUUGAUCGAUUGCCUACUCCGUUUGGAUUGGUCCGCUCUGGUGUGGCACCUGAUCAUCCCGAAACCAAGAUUGUGGUGAACCAAUUUUCUCGGGUUGCACAAAAUGAUCGGUGCUCUUUCAUUGGAAAUGUGACUCUCGGAUCUUCCAUUUCUCUAUCGGAACUCCGUGAGUUGUAUCAUGUGGUUGUGCUUGCAUAUGGUGCUGAAAGUGACAGAGUCCUCGGUAUUCCAGGAGAAGAUUUUGCAGGAAUACACUCAGCUAGAGAAUUUGUUUGGUGGUAUAAUGGGCAUCCAGACUGCAAAAACCUGGAUCCUGAUUUGAAGAGCACUGAUACAGCCGUUAUUCUUGGUCAGGGUAAUGUUGCGCUUGAUGUUGCACGUAUCCUCUUACGACCUACAAUGGAAUUGGCAAAAACUGAUAUUGCCAGCCAUGCGUUGGCUGCUCUGGAGGAGAGCUCUAUAAGGAAAGUAUAUUUGGUAGGAAGACGUGGACCAGUACAAGCAGCUUGUACUGCAAAAGAGCUACGUGAAAUUCUUGGUAUUAAGGAUUUGAAUGUUCACAUUCAAGAAUCUGAUCUACUUAAAAGCCCAGCAGAUGAGGAAGAACUGAAGAAUAAUAGAAUUCAGAGGAGGGUUUAUGAGUUGCUCUCUAAGGCGGCCUCAGGACCUUCUCUUACCAGUUCAGGUCAACGGGAACUGCACUUUGUUUUCUUCCGGAAACCAGAUAGGUUUCUGGAUUCAGGUGACAGAAAUGGCCAUGUUGCAGGUGUGCACUGUGAGAAGACAAUUCUUAAAGAAAGUGUUGGCUCUGGAAAACAGAUUGCAGUGGGUACUGGACAGUUCGAAGAUCUUGAAUGCGGGAUAGUGCUAAAGAGCAUUGGUUACAAAUCUGUACCUAUCAAUGGUUUACCCUUUGAUCAUCAUAAAGGCAUAGUUCCAAAUAUUCAAGGUCGAGUUCUAAGUAAUACUACUGGAAAUCCUACACUAGUUGAGGAAGGAUUAUAUGUAUGUGGGUGGUUGAAGAGAGGACCAACUGGAAUCAUUGCUACAAACCUUUACUGUGCUGAAGAAACUGUUGCUAGCAUAUCUGAAGACCUUGAACAAGGAAAGUUACCAUCCACAUCUAGCUUGCCUAAACCAGGCCGAGAGGGCCUCCUUCAGUUAUUAGCUGAGAGGAAUGUCAGAGUUUUAUCGUUCAGUACCUGGGAAAAGAUUGAUUCUGAAGAGAAGAGGCUCGGGAGUUUGAGAAACAAACCCAGAGAAAAAUUAACCACAAGGGAGGAGCUACUGAAAGUUACCAUGGAAUGAAUCAACCUAGAGAGGAAUAAUUUUUUCUUUUUUAACAGGUCUUGCAUGAGGGGAAGAAAUGAAAAGAGCAGUGAAGACAAAAUCACCAAAUUGUACUUAUCGUAAAACUCUGAAAGUGCUGGUGAUUGGCUUUGCUUGGCCUUUGGCCAAAGGUCCUUUGGUCUCAGCGGGGGCUGCAAAAGGACUGAUCUGCCUUGGGAUUAUCAAGUUGAGUAAGAAAUCAAAAACUGGGAACCACUCUGAAAAGGGCUUCACGUACAAAUUUUCCAGCCUAAGCAGAAAGUGUAAAAAAGGGCGGAAAGUGCAGAGAAAGACUUAAAAAAAUGCCAGGGUGUUGGCAAGAGGUUUGAACUCUCAUACUUUAAAGACACAUAAUGGGUUCACAAGAUUCAAACAAUGGGCAAUUGGUGUGUGUUUACUGUGUUCCUUGGCCUCAGAAACCGUCUGAACCACCCAAAUAAUACGAGCUGAGAUCAUAAGGUUUGUGUGUUUGGCGUCAUACCAGUGUUGGUUCUAAUCCAUAUAAUGUUGGUCCCAAUCAGUGUAGUCAAUUUAGCACCUAGGCAAGUACACGGGUGCACUUGGGACACCUAGGAUUACUUGUCACAGUACUUGACAAUUCCAUCCCCAUUAUCCACCAUUGGACUACACAUUCCUCUGUUGUGGUGACUGCGAAAGCACUCUGUUUCUUGUUUAAUCACUUUUUCCAUACUCAUCCUUCAUUAUCAUGUCAUUAUCAUCUAAGUAUUAAUAAUAUCAACCUUGGUCUGACACUUGUUUCAA